UCUUUUCAGUUGUUGGUUGUUGGCUGACUUGUAAAGUUCAUCACCGAAAGAGAGAUACAGAGAAAAGGGAAGAAUCAACCAUGCCUCCAAACGCACCAAAACCAACAGGACGCCACAGAAAGAGGCUAACAAGGAUGGAUGUUGCCGUAGAUGCAAUGAGGAGCUAUGGUUUCUAUGAUGGGUUGAUUGUCGACUGUUAAAGGGCUCUUGGAAGUGGGUUUUGUUUUGCUUUUAAUGUUUUCAAUGUGUUAGGCAUUUAGGGGUUUUACAGGAAAUUUAUCGAUUCAGGUAUAUGGUGAGGAAGGUUGGCCUUUUAUUAAAGAAAGCUCAUAUAAGGUCUUGCUCGAGGCUAUUCUCGAGGAUCUUGAAAAAAAGGAGCAGGAAAAGAGUAAUACGCUGCAAGAGAAUGAGAGGUGUGGAAAUAAUAUCGAGAUAUCAGCUGGCAGUACAUCAAAUGGUGCUUCCGUAUCGACUGGCCACAGCACAGAAGCUGUGGCCCCUGCAUCUCAGACUAACAGAGUUCUACUCAACACAUCACAGGCUGCAAAUCCGGACUUAGCAUUACUUGAUGGUAGUACCCCUGCAUCUAAAGUAGGAAGCAGCUGGAAAGAUAUAAAUCUGUAUGAGAAUUGCAUUGAAAAACAAAUUAACAGUGACAAUGGAGCAGCUGUUAUGAAUUUUGGCGGUGUUCAACUACCUGGCAACACUAGCUCCCCUGUGCCCCCCUGCAGGCGCAGACCCUGCUAUGGAUGGAUUAGUAGUGAUGAAGAUGAUGAUGAUGCGGACCUGGAUCUCAUUGAACUUACACCGGCGCCAUUACCAGCAGUGGUAGCAAAGUUGCUUUCUGGGAUUGAUAUGCCGAGGACACGCAAGGGAAGGUGGGAUGCAACACCUGAGGAUAUGUAGGCGUUCACCUUUUGUAUCUCUUAUGUAAAUCCACAGGCUUCUGACUCUUUUCUUUCAACUACGGAAGUGCAAACUUUUGGACAAUUUAGGACGUUAUUAUUGAUUUAUUAAGGAUUGAUGUGUA